CACAAACUUUUAUAUGAGGCUGGCCACACCUUGAAUAAAUGGUGUGGCCACCUAAUAUAAAAGCCCGAUAUAAUCGACUCCAAGGCAAGCAAUCCGUUUUUUGAGCCCAUUUCUCUUUGCGCGAUACAACCGACCCCAAGCGAGCCCAUAUCUCUUUCUGUUUUUCUUCUCUGCCAGUUUAGCCCAUUUCUCUCUCUUUCUUUCUCUCUCUCUUUUUCUUCUCUGCCAGUUGAGCCCAUUUCUCUCUCCAGUCCGUUUUUUCUUUCUUUCUUUUUCUGGCAGUUCGUAACCUCCAUCAUCAAGGGUUUGGUUUUCAUUUUCGUUCGUGAGUUUUAUGUUGUUCGAAUUAUUUGCGGAAUUAUGGCUAGAGUAAAGACUAUAUCUCGUCGUCGUCGGAGUGAUGGUGGUCGCAGCGUUUGUAGUCCGAGUGAUGGUGGUCGUGGUUCAAAAGUAACCCUAGGUUUGAAGUAUAUGUUGGGAGCAGAACCAACUCUACAAAUAUAGAAGUAGGUGUUGUCAUCUUGCUACUUCUACUACUAGCUAUUCACUCCACAAACUAUUUGCUUAACUUACUCUUUGUUUUUCUUGUUAUUGCAUGAUUAUAGGAGUUCUGCUCCGGGUUGUUGCAUGGGACUGUUCCAAUGUUCUUUAAGUCACAGGGUAUACCAGAUAAUGAAAACACUACUGUCCAGAUUGCCGUGGGGAAGACAUUUGAUGACCUGGUCCUCAGCAACUCCAAUAAUGUUUUUCUUGAGGUUAGUAUUCAUGCCCUCUGCACUCCUACGAUUUUACCCGCAAAGCUUUCUUUCUAUAAAGCUCUUCUU